UACGUAGGGGGCAAGCGUUGUCCGGAAUCAUUGGGCGUAAAGCGCGCGUAGGCGGCCCGGUAAGUCCGUUGUAAAAGUCAAAGGCUCAACCUUUGAAAGCCGAUGGAUACUGCCGGGCUAGAAUCCGGAAGAGGCGAGUGGAAUUCCUGGUGUAGCGGUGAAAUGCGCAGAUAUCAGGAAGAACACCCGUGGCGAAGGCGGUUCUCUGGGACGGUACUGACGCUGAGACGCGAAAGCGUGGGGAGCGAACAGG
rnacentral:rRNA from 1 species